GAUGAAGAACGCAGCGAAAUGCGAUACGUAAUGUGAAAUGCAAAUUCAGUGAAUCAUCGAGUCUUUGAACGCACAUUGCGCCCCCUGGUAUUCCGGGGGGCAUGCCUGUCCGAGCGUCAUUGCUGCCUCAAGCACGGCUUGUGUGUUGGGCCCCGUCCUCCGAUCCCGGGGGACGGGCCCGAAAGGCAGCGGCGGCACCGCGUCCGGUCCUCGAGCGUAUGGGGCUUUGUCACCCGCUCUGUAGGCCCGGCCGGCGCUUGCCGAUCAACCCAAAUUUUUAUCCAGGUUGACCUCGGAUCAGGUAGGGAUACCCGCUGAACUUAAGCAUAUCAAUAAGCGGAGGA
rnacentral:misc_RNA from 1 species